rnacentral:rRNA from 1 species
GACGAACGCUGGCGGCGUGCUUAACACAUGCAAGUCGAACGGUGAAGGUGGAGCUUGCUCCGCCGGAUCAGUGGCGAACGGGUGAGUAACACGUGGGCAACCUGCCCCUGACUUCGGGAUAACUCCUCGAAAGAGGUGCUUAUACCGGACACGAAUCCUGCAGGCAUCUGCGGGCUUGGAAAGUUUUUCGGUCAGGGAUGGGCCCGCGGCCUAUCAGCUUGUUGGUGAGGGAGUGGCUCACCAAGGCGACGACGGGUAGCCGGCCUGAGAGGGCGACCGGCCACACUGGGACUGAGACACGGCCCAGACUCCUACGGGAGGCAGCAGUGGGGAAUAUUGCGCAAUGGGCGAAAGCCUGACGCAGCAACGCCGCGUGAGGGAUGACGGCCUUCGGGUUGUAAACCUCUUUCAGCAGGGAAGAAGCGAAAGUGACGGUACCUGCAGAAGAAGCACCGGCUAACUACGUGCCAGCCGCCGCCGUAA